rnacentral:lncRNA from 1 species
CACUUUGCCUCUGCUCUUCCACAUCUACAAUACAAUUACCUUUCCUAGCUAGCGAUAAACUAAACAUUGAUAAAAUAUCAUUUGUGUUUCCCUUUACCAUUGUUUUCUCAGAUCUACAACUACCAAAUUUAUAUAUCUCUACUUUUAAAUUAAAAAUUAUAUAAAAACAACAUUCAGUGGCUUUCCAUCAUCGCUAUUGUGUUAUCCUCGUAUCCAGACUUCGUUUUCUUUUCUAUGGACAAAUACUGAACACACAAAACAAAAUAUCAGUGGUUUCAGCCCUUUGUUGUUUGUCCACCUUUGUCAUUGCUUGCUUUUAUAUUUACCAUCUCUAGCAAAAACCCAAAAGAUUGUUGGGUGCUCCCGCUACUGAGAUAUUUAAAGUAAAUCUGGUUGAUCAGACCAUUUUUUCACAUCCAUAUUAGGGUGCCUAAUUCAAUCACCGGGUACUUUAUAUAUUGUCUCAUUUGUGAUCUUUUUACUCACUUCUGGGCUAUAUAACAAGCAGGGUCAAUUUGAUUGUGUUUUCACAGGACCAUACAAGGAAGCUAGCCUGCAUCUUUUGAGGAGAAACGUGGUCAAUUAAUAU